CCCCCCCUUCCCCAUCGCAUCCCUCCCCUUCUCUCCUCCCCCCGCCGCGCCGCAGCCUCCUCCUCUUCCUCCUCCCCCUCGCCAGGACACCGGGCAGAGCCGCACGGGGGGAUCCCUCGCCUGGUGGGGGCGGGGAAUGGGGCUUCUCCCCCCCCCCGCGCCAGGGGGGCGAGCCGAGGCGUCCGCUGAGCCGCCGCGGGAUGUCGGCGAUGUUUUGCAGGUGUAAAUUUGGAGAAACUUCCCUGACAUGGAGUGCGUCAAGCUGCCCUGCAGUGAAUAACGUAGCUGAAGUCGAAGUACCUUAGUUCGAACUUAAAGGUACUUAACAAAGGUCCACAUGCGGCAGGCAGGCUCCCCCGUCGACUCCGCGUACUCGACGGCGAGCACUUCCGGAAUCGAUCCCAGAAGAUCGAUUGCUUACCGCCAAACCCGGAGGCAACCAGACUGGAUCCAGCUCUGUAUUUGUCAGAACUCAGUGGAGACACGGACACCUUGGCACAAGCUGGCACCUCACUGCCAGCGUCACAGAGGGAGUUACGCCCGAGAUACACCAACAGAAGUAACAGAAGAAGCAGGCCCGAUAGGAGCUAUGCCUGGAUAAGGAUGCAAGGCUUUGGGGCUCUGCAAAGCCCAUUUAAAUCAAUAGAAAGACGCCGCUUGCUCUGGCCUUUGGAUCAGCGCCUGAAGACUGUGCACAAGCGAAACAAACCCAGAAUUCCCAUACGGACCAUGGCUAGAGAGUAACGUUCGGACCUGAUCCUGCAAACAGACGAGUAACUUUACUAGUGCGUUGUAGUUCCAUUGGAGCCAAUAGAACAGCCCCCCUGCCGCCAAUCAGCUUUGUAUCAGACACUUGGCCUGUUAGGAAAGUGUUUCUCCAACUGUUCGUUUGCAAGAGAAAAUUUGUGCUGGAAUUUAAAAGAAAAUGUUUUAGGGGAACUGUAAAAAUUAUAUUAGUUUCCAAAAAUUAGCCCCAUAUUCCGAUGAUGGAUGAAAACAAAACAUCAUAUGAAAAAGUAGCAUUAAUAUAAAUGUACUUUCUGUGGGAAAACUUUAGCAACUUACAUAAUCAAUUGCCAGCAUAUUUCUGUAGCUAAAUCCAAUUACUACAGACAAAUUGGCAUGAAUAUUCGUCUUCCAAACCUUUCAGUAAACACAAAGGGCUUUUCUUCUUCUUCUAUUAGAAUUAGAAAAAGCACAGAGAAGGGCCACAAACAUGAUCGGGGCAUGGAACAGCUUCCAUAUGAGGAGAGAUUAAUAAGAUUGGGACUGUUCAGCUUAGAAAAGAGACAACAAAGGGGGGAUAUGAUAGAGGACUAUAAAAACAUCCAUGGUGUGAAAAAAGAGAAUACAGAUGUGUUAUUUGCGUCUUCUCAUAACACAAGAACCAGCGGUCACCCAAUGAAAUUAAUAGGCAGCAGGUUUAAAACAAACAAAAGGAAGUAUUUCUUCACACAACACACAGUCAACCUGUGGAACUCAUUGCCAGGGGAUGUUGUGAAGGCCAAAAAUAUAACUGGGUUCAAAAAAGAAUUAGAUCAGUGGAUGGAUGAUUGGUCCAUUAAGGGCUAUUAGCCAAGAUGGUCAGGGAUGCAACCCCAUGUUCUGGGUGUCCCUAAACCUCCAACUGCCAGAAGCUUGGACUGGAUGACAGGCAGCGCUUAAUUCAUGCCAGGGCUGAGCCCCGGCACCUCUGGGCCUGGCAGUUCAGAGCCCGUCACCUCUAGGCCUGGCGGUUCAUAGACCUGGCAUCUCUGGGCCUGGCAGGGCAGAGCCCCAGCACCUCUGGGCCUGGCAGUUCAGAGCCCAGCACCUCUGGGCCUGGCAUUUCGUAGCCCCUGAACCUCUGGGCCUGGCAGUUCAUAGCUCCAGCACC